rnacentral:lncRNA from 1 species
UUUCCUCCGGGUCACCUUUCCUGGCUAGGACCAAACAGCACGUGAUAGAAGUGGGACAGUGAUGCUGUUCAGACCUCCCUGGUCCCUCAGCCAUGGCAAGGAUGGCACCAUCCGCCGUGAGGGCCACUCACUGCCUGAGCUGCAGCCCUUGCUGAGGCUGACCUCACAGUGACUUGGGGAACCAGCUCUCAUGACCCACGUGACUUCCCCCUGGUCACCCUGAAUGUGUGACUUUCAGAGUCAUUGUCCUGAGCAGAGCUAUGAGGUCCUGGUCCCCAUAGGUCGGGUCCCUUGUCUGUCCCUCCUGUGCAUUAGGAACAUCACAGUGGAAGUCAGCCUGAACAGUGGGAGGGACUUCCUUGCCCGCAGCAUCAGGGUGAAGGCCACCGCCGACUGUAAUCGGCCCCCCACAACCACCACUAGGCGCCCCAGGCUGCGUCCACCAUCACCAACGGUAUCGACCACA